rnacentral:lncRNA from 1 species
AGAGUCAGGCCUGCAACCCUCCACCAUCACCCAAUGCCCGGUCCCUGUGCCCAGCUCACCUGUCUCUCCCCAGAUGGGCAGGUACUCAUCCUGCUGAAUGUCCAGCAUGAUCUCCAGCCCGUUGCCUGUCCCCCCCUUGACCGUGGUGAGCAGAGGUUUGCCAUCCUCGCCUGAGUUAAACAUGUAACACUUCCCAUAUUUUGUAAACACCUGAAGGAGAGAAGAGAGAGAGAGAGAGAAGCACAUGGGUAACUUCAGACGGGGGUCCAGAGAUUGGCGAGACCCCAGAAAUCUGACAGCAGGACCCAAGCGUUUUUUGACUGCAUCACUCUGGUUUCCUAGCUGGACUUCAGGAUUCCAGAUGACCUUCUCCAGCCCAUCCUCUAAGAUGAGGAACCAAAGUUCAAGGAGGUUCAACGUCUUACAGAUUUGGUGGUGCACUUGCUCUUCCCACUGCCCAGUGAAGCGCUACUCGAUCAUACUAGACACAAUGUGGUUGGUCUAUGGGAGGGAGUAUCAGGAAGCAUGAGGAGCCCACACUUCUACAAAGAGUCGAGAUGCCUUCACAAAGAUGCCUCAUGCUGCAAGGUCGUGAAUGCCAAGUGCUCUAGUGUUUCAGAGGUGGAGGAGAUCCCUACAGAUGAGGCACCAGGAAAAGCUUCAAGGUGGAGGCCGGUCUGAGUCUGGCCUCAAAGGAUGAAAUGAUUCAGAUAAACAGCAAAACAAAGCAACAGGAAGGGAGAGAUAACAACAAAGGCAGAGAUGUAGGAGUGAGCAAGGGAGACUGAAUGAGCAGUCCCUGGGACAGAAGGUGUGCACAGGGAGGUGGGAGAGAGAGUGCUAGGAAGGGAGGCUGGCACAUGGAACAUGGAGGGUUUUCAGUGUCAUGUUCAGGGCUUUGGACUUGUUCCUGAGACCUGGGUUUCCCAAAGGGAGUUCUGCUACUGGGGAGAGCCUCAGAGGAAAGAAUAAAACAGAAUUCCCUGUACAUCAUCCCUUUCCUGGUGAGUUACAAUGCACAUUAGCAUGUUACGUGGUCUGGGCAGUACUACGGAAAAGAAAGGCAUACAAGGUAUUUAUUUUUUUAACUUUCCACUGGGAAAUUUCCAAUUAAAUAAGGUUGAAAAAUCGAACCCAGCAGAGGAGCAAUAGAAACCCUCCCCUCCGAGGCCGGAAGGUAAUUCAGUCACCCCUGGGG